rnacentral:rRNA from 1 species
UGGGGAAUCUUGCGCAAUGGGCGAAAGCCUGACGCAGCCAUGCCGCGUGGAUGAUGAAGGUCUUAGGAUUGUAAAAUCCUUUCAGCGGGGACGAUAAUGACGGUACCCGCAGAAGAAGCCCCGGCUAACUUCGUGCCAGCAGCCGCGGUAAUACGAAGGGGGCUAGCGUUGCUCGGAAUUACUGGGCGUAAAGGGAGCGUAGGCGGAUCGUUUAGUCAGGGGUGAAAUCCCGGGGCUCAACCUCGGAACUGCCUUUGAUACUGGCGAUCUUGAGUAUGGGAGAGGUGUGUGGAACUCCGAGUGUAGAGGUGAAAUUCGUAGAUAUUCGGAAGAACACCAGUGGCGAAGGCGACACACUGGCCCAUUACUGACGCUGAGGCUCGAAAGCGUGGGGAGCAAACAGG